GUGUCGUACAACGUCACAGAUAAUAUCUGUGGUCUCGAACGCUUUGCGAAAUACAUUCUGUAAUUUUGUAGGAAUUAUCGAUGGACAUAUGAAACGUCCCAUGAGCUUCACCACACCAAACUUGUGAAGUACGUCUCUUACUUUCGGACUACUGCUCAGAGAAUCUAAAACUUUUGCACAGCCUAUGGCAACCGCAACUAAUUCCUUGUUGGUUUCGUUCAACUCAUUGUACGAUGUUCGAAGAAUAGAAUCUGGUUCGUCAUCUGUACUUUCUUCCUCCUGUUUUUCGCUGAUGUAACGGACUCGAGGACCGAAUGGUUGUCCAGUGACUGCUGAUAUUAGUGGCUUCGAUGGUUCUUCCGGUUCGAUCACUUCCAGCAUAUCCGGCUCGAUUCUUUAUUCGAAAAGAAAAAAAAAAGGAGAAAAUCAAAAUGAAAUGUCAUAAUUGUUGAAAUAAAAUCAUAGGUUUCUUUAAUUAAGCGAUUAAACGCAUAAUGCAAUUAUUUAAUUGCGAAAUAUCGUGAUAUUAUAAAUACUUACAUAUGUUAAAUACUAAGGCUGUGAGAUAAAAAAUAUUAAAAAAGAAAUAACUCUGUGAAACGAGGGCUCUGGAACAAAAGGUAUUAAAAAAUAAAUAGAAGCACGAGUGUUGCAAACGUUAUAUAAAAUUUGUUUUAGCACUUUGAUGCGUUACAAAAUGAAAAUGAAAUAUUUAUGAGAUGAUUGAGAUUAUAAAACGCACCGUUUUUUAUUUACUCGGAAACAUCUCAUUUUUCAAUUAUUAGUUUAUCAAGUUUGACAAUAAAUAAGUAACCAAACGUCAUUUACCACCAAGUAUUUUUAUAGACACGUUAAUAUAGUACAAUACUAUAUAGUUAAAUAUUAUAAUUUGUGUUUGAAGUACAGUGAUUCCAAACUUACGUUGGUGGCGGUUCGAUGGAUAUUUUUUUGACAUCUUUUUUUCUUUUCGGUGGCAUAAUCUUCUAUCUCUGAUUACAAGAAACGAUUAAAACGUUGAACACCUUGUUUCGUGUAGAUAGGAUAAAGUACCCUCUUUGUUCUGGAUACUUGGAUUAAGAAAUUUGUUAAGCUCCUUGCGCACGCAGCUAUCGAUCAAACAAUUCAUUACCAUAUACAGCUCAUGUAGGCAUCUGUUCUGCGAAUGAUAUAAAGUUAAUUUUAUUUAAUUUUCUUUCUUAUGAUACUUAUUUAUACGUCUAAAUAGUUAUGUGUAUAUAUAUUGUAAAUGUACUUUACUUAGUAACUUCUUCCAUAAUCUUUAUCAAUAGAUGUAUUUUUGUUUGAAAUAUCUUCGACGCGCAUUUUUAAUUUUAUCUAGUUAAAUUACAUGCUUAGUAUUACAAUACAAAAAAUUGAUCACUCGCUCGAUCGAUCAAAUCAUUGUUUACUGACCUGAAUAAAUCGAUUAAUCGGA